GGAGGGAGCAGAAGCCCAGGCUCUGAAGCUGUGUUUGGCUGACCUCAGAUUGUGGCUCCACUGUUACUCUCUGUGUAAUGUGGGAUCGUAAAUUUGGGACAAAGCCGGUACCCCUCUGGGUGGUUGUGAAGUUUACAAGAGACUCUGUAGAAGCCCCUGCCCCAUUCCUGCCAUCCGAGGGUCCAGCCUGGAAGCCAAGUGGCACUGAACCAAUUUUCAGACAUGAGCUUUGCUGAAAUAAAACACAAGUAUCUUUGGUCAGAGCCUCAGAAUUGCUCAGCCACCAAAAGUAACUACCUUCGAGGUACUGGUCCCUACCCACCUUCCGUGGACUGGCGGAAAAAAGGAAAUUUUGUCUCACCUGUGAAAAAUCAGGGUGCCUGCGGCAGUUGCUGGACUUUCUCCACCACAGGGGCCCUGGAGUCUGCGAUCGCCAUUGCAACUGGGAAGAUGCUGUCCUUGGCCGAACAGCAGCUGGUGGACUGCGCCCAGGACUUCAAUAAUCAUGGCUGCCAAGGGGGUCUCCCCAGCCAGGCUUUCGAGUACAUCCUGUACAACAAGGGGAUCAUGGGUGAAGACACCUACCCCUACCAGGGCAAGGAUGGUUAUUGCAAGUUCCGACCUGGAGAGGCCAUCGGCUUUGUCAAGGAUGUAGCCAACAUCACAAUCUAUGACGAGGAAGCAAUGGUGGAGGCUGUGGCCCUUUACAACCCUGUGAGCUUUGCCUUUGAGGUGACUCAGGACUUCAUGAUGUAUAAAAGGGGCAUCUACUCCAGUACUUCCUGCCAUAAAACUCCAGAUAAAGUAAACCAUGCAGUACUGGCUGUUGGGUAUGG
rnacentral:sRNA from 1 species